UGCCGGUCAUAAACCGGAGGAAGUGGGGAUGACGUCAAGUCAGCAUGGCCUUUAUAUCCUGGGCUACACACACGCUACAAUGGGAAGGGACAAUAGGUUGCGGAGCCGCGAGGCGGAGCCAAUCCAGCAAAACUUCCCUCAGUUCGGAUUGCAGGCUGCAACUCGCCUGCAUGAAGCCGGAAUCGCUAGUAAUCGCGGAUCAGCAUGCCGCGGUGAAUACGUUCCCGGGCCUU
rnacentral:rRNA from 1 species